UGCAGAGCUCCUUUCCAGCAGGCCAUCCCCUAACCCAUACUCAUGCAUAUGGUUAUUCCUCCUCAGGUGUAGGACCCUGCACUUGGUCUUGUUAAACUUCAGCAGGUUCCUUUCUGCCCAGCUCUCCAGUCUGUUUGGGUCUUGUUGAAUGGCAGCACAGCCUUCUGGUGUGUCAGUCAUUCCUCCCAGCUUUGUAUCAUCAGCAAAUUCUCAGUUGUUCUGAGGAUGGUGGUGAAAACAGAAGGGCCAAGGGAAAAAGCUGUGAUCUGUCCCCCCAGACUCUCACAACCCAGCCUAGUGCUCUGUGCCUGCCAACCACGCCACAAUCCUAAGGCAGAACAACUGCAUCUCUCCCUCAAUUUUAGUUUGAAGUGCCUUCAGUAAUAGUCAGUUUUCAUCCAUGCCAUUGACAGUACAUCUUCUGAAAGCAAGAAUUGAGGGGACUGGAUAAACUAGCAGUUGAUUAAAGGUGAAAUUUCUGUUUUCUCUUGUUACAGUUGGUGUUACAGCUAGAAAGAUUGUCACUGAGAAAAUGGGAAAAGAAACAAACAGGGAAGGAACGCUCACCUAUAGCCAAAGAUCCAGGUUCACGGGAAAGACGCCACAGAGGAGGAAUCUCCUGAAAAAGAUCCUUCUUUGUGGCAGUCAGCCCUUAAAAGGGGUGUAGGAGAGGUGCAGCCAGGCUCCACCCCUUUCGGUCACACAGGUGAAUUGCCUUCACCUGUGCUUCUAUGGCUGACUCAGUGCUUUCCUCAGGUGAUCAAUCAGUGGUUUCAGGCCAUGAGUCAACAGUUCCCGUACACUUCUACAAUAGCAUACUAUUCUUAACAACAAAACCAGAAGAAAAUCUUUGAGUCCCUCCCCACAAAGAAAAACACCAGGCAGAUGACUUUGGGAGGAAGCUAGUUGGACAGCUUGAAACAGAGGCUGCCUUCCCCUCCUUUUUUUCUUCUUCCUGCUAAAGACUGCCAGGAUUUGCUUUCACCACAUGAAACUCCCACACAUGGCACACGUCCACUCAGGAGGAGACUAUUUCUCCUCUGAGGCAAUGAUAGACUGGGAGGAAACAGCACUUCAGGAGAAUUUUAAGCAGCUGAGCUUUGUUGCUUUUGGUUUCAGUCUAAAUAAAUAUCAAAU
ensembl:lncRNA